rnacentral:lncRNA from 1 species
AUCAAAUUAAGCUCUUUUUGAAAAAAUUUUCAAAUUCCACUCAUAUGGUUUCACACUUUCUCACUUUAGUACCAUAUGGUUUAAAGUGUAUCAAUUUAGUAUUCAGUGAUUUUACUUUUAUCUUUGUAUUAUUGAUUCCACCAAUUUUUUUAUGUUAAAUCAGUGACAAAAUUAAAACUAAAAGUUACUAAAGUGAAUAUUCGAUAAACGUAGGUGGAAUAUUUGAAAAUUUUUGUAAAUAAUUUAACGAAAUAUUAACGAAAAAGCUGACUAAAAAAUAAAAAUGAAACUACAAAUUGAUACAUUUUAAACUGCAGAAUACUAAAGUGAGAACGUGCGGAACCUGUAUUUAAAUUUUACCUUUUUUUAACAAAAAAAAAAUAAUUUGAAUGCAUUAAUUAAUAAUUUAAAAC